rnacentral:rRNA from 1 species
UACGGAGGGUGCAAGCAUUGAUCGGAAUUACUGGGCGUAAAGGGCGCGUAGGCGGCUUUGAAAGUCAGAUGUGAAAUUCCGGGGCUCAACCCCGGAGCUGCAUUUGAAACUUCCGAGCUUAGAGGAUGGUAAGGGAAAACGGAAUUCCACGUGUAGCGGUGAAAUGCGUAGAUAUGUGGAAGAACACCAGUGGUGAAGACGGGUUUUCUGUGCCAAAUCCAGACGCUGAAGCGCGAAAAGCUAGGGGAGCAAACAGG